AGGAAGGCAGUCUUCAAAGAAAAGGAUUUCCCAAUCCAAGCGGCUGGCUUGCACUUUGAUUCUGUGAACUUUGCUAACCCUGGGCAGGACUACACAGAGACAGGUGUAAAGACAGCCCCAUCCUAGGGGCACAACUGUGCAGCCGCUGCUGGGUACACACAGCGAAGGGUCCAAGCUUCUAAAUGACGCUUCUGGCUACAGACCUUUCCCACGUGUAGGUGGCAAAGAGAGCACCCCCAGUAAUGUGGCCACCCAGCCCAUCCUGGCUGGAAGGGGCCAGGGAAAGGGGUCAAGUCAGGGCUGUACUCUCGUGCUGGACUUCCCGGUUUUCCACCCAUUUCCAGCACAUCGCCUAGGACUGGGAGCGCUCUUUCCUCCUACCCUGAAGUCCUGCGCACCUAGACGUCUCUCAAAGGCAAGUGAAUCAAGUGCAUCUUGGCCUUACAGGACUCAGGUCAGGACUUGUAUGUCAGCCUUCCCUUAGGGAUCUGUUCCUGUUUUGCACUUCAAAGGCCCAUCUGGCAGAUAUCAAAGACGCUCUGUUCCACCCCAGUCUCCCGAGAUCUGAUCAUCACCCUCACUUCUCUCUGCAUGGAGGUGACAGGAGCUCCACAAAGAAGACCAACAGAGCCAAAUAGCCAGGGCCCAAAGGGCCUUGUGGAGAUUGAAGCACCGGGUCAAGGAGCAUGCAUGACUGGACCUAGGCCCUCCCUCUACACAGAUGUAGCUUCAUGCUAUUUCCAUAGAAAGGAUGGUGGAGGUGUAGGGGGGAGGACUGUCUCCGACGUGGACUCUGUCGCUUGCUGUUUGACCACCUCCCCCUGGUGGGUCUGGCUCGGCAAACCACAGCAGAAGAAGAUAUACUCAGUCCUAAUGCCACUUGAUGAGCUGCGACAAGGGAACUGAGACUGGAGAGCGUUAGAUAAAAUCUUCAAGGUGGCCAUCAAAACAAGGCCGGAUGGACAUAUGGCCAGUUGAUAAAGUUCUUGAGGUGCAACCAUGAAGACCCGAGCUGAGUUAGCAGCAACCAUGAGAAAACCUGGAACAGCGCUGCGUACCUUCAAUCCCAGUGGUGGGGGUGCCUGGGUUUUCCGUCUGUUAUUUAAACCUGUAAGACGGCACCAGGUUCCAUAAAAGAGGCUGUGUCCAAAAAUCUGAUGUAGAAAUGACGGAGGACGAUGCCAGGUGUGGACUUCAG